rnacentral:lncRNA from 1 species
GCGCCAUUGCUGGGGAGAAAGACGGUUUGCUGAGAUAACUUUAAGUCUUGCUAUUAUCUUGUAUUAUACUUUUAUACUUUUAUUCUUUUAUCUUUUUAUUUUUUCUAUCUUUAUGGAUAACUUAAAUUCCAUACCUAUUACUGAAUUAUUUGCACCUUCGGAGACCAGCCAUAGACCAUGGGAGUCAACAAGUCCUGCCCCUAAUUAUGAUCUG